UACGGGGGGUGCAAGCGUUGUUCGGAAUUACUGGGCGUAAAGGGCUCGUAGGCGGCCAACUAAGUCGGAUGUGAAAUCCCCAGGCUCAACUUGGGAACUGCAUCCGAUACUGGAUGGCUUGAAUUCGGGAGAGGGAUGCAGAAUUCCAGGUGUAGCGGUGAAAUGCGUAGAUAUCUGGAGGAAUACCGGUGGCGAAGGCGGCAUCCUGGACCGACAUUGACGCUGAGGAGCGAAAGCUAGGGGAGCAAACGGG
rnacentral:rRNA from 1 species